rnacentral:rRNA from 1 species
UACGGGGGGGGCAAGCGUUGUUCGGAAUUACUGGGCGUAAAGGGCUCGUAGGCGGCCAACUAAGUCAGACGUGAAAUCCCCAGACUCAACCUGGGAACUGCGUCUGAUACUGGAUGGCUUGAAUCCGGGAGAGGGAUGCAGAAUUCCAGGUGUAGCGGUGAAAUGCGUAGAUAUCUGGAGGAAUACCGGUGGCGAAGGCGGCAUCCUGGACCGGCAUUGACGCUGAGGAGCGAAAGCCAGGGGAGCAAACGGG